GACGAACGCUGGCGGCGUGCUUAACACAUGCAAGUCGAACGGAAAGGCCCUGCUUUUGUGGGGUGCUCGAUUGGCGAACGGGUGAGUAACACGUGAGUAACCUGCCCUUGACUUUGGGAUAACUUCAGGAAACUGGGGCUAUUACCGGAUAGGAGCUCCUGCUGCAUGGUGGGGGUUGGAAAGUUUCGGCGGUUGGGGAUGGACUCGCGGCUUAUCAGCUUGUUGGUGGGGUAGUGGCUUACCAAGGCUUUGACGGGUAGCCGGCCUGAGAGGGUGACCGGCCACAUUAGGACUGAGAUACGGCGCAGACUCCUACGGGAGGCAGCAGUGGGGAAUAUUGCACAAUGGGCGGAAGCCUGAUGCAGCAACGCCGCGUGCGGGAUGACGGCCUUCGGGUUGUAAACCGCUUUCGCCUGUGACGAAGCGUGAGUGACGGUAAUGGGUAAAGAAGCACCGGCUAACUACGUG
rnacentral:rRNA from 1 species